UAAUACAUGCAAGUCGAGGGGUAACAGAAAGUGCUUGCACUUUGCUGACGACCGGCGGACGGGUGAGUAACGCGUAUAUAAUCUGCCUCAUACUAGAGGAUAGCCCGAAGAAAUUUGGAUUAACACUCUAUAGUAUCAUUUAAAGACAUCUUUUUAUGAUUAAAGGUUACGGUAUGAGAUGAGUAUGCGUUCUAUUAGUUCGUAGGUGAGGUAACGGCUCACCUAGACUACGAUAGAUAGGGGCCCUGAGAGGGGGACCCCCCACACUGGUACUGAGACACGGACCAGACUCCUACGGGAGGCAGCAGUAAGGAAUAUUGGUCAAUGGACGAAAGUCUGAACCAGCCAUGCCGCGUGCAGGAUGAAUGCCCUAUGGGUUGUAAACUGCUUUUAUACAGGAAGAAAAACUUUCUCGUGAGAAAGCUUGACGGUACUGUAAGAAAUAAGGAUCGGCUAACUCCGUGCCAGCAGCCGCGGUAAUACGGAGGAUCCCAAGCGUUAUCCGGAAUUAUUGGGUUUAAAGGGUCCGUAGGUGGAUAAUUAAGUCAGAGGUGAAAUCCUGCAGCUUAACUGUAGAAUUGCCUUUGAUACUGGUUAUCUUGAGUUAUUAUGAAGUGAUUAGAAUGUGUAGUGUAGCGGUGAAAUGCAUAGAUAUUACACAGAAUACCAAUUGCGAAGGCAGGUCACUAAUAAUCAACUGACACUGAGGGACGAAAGCGUGGGUAGCGAACAGGAUUAGAUACCCUGGUAGUCCACGCCGCAAACGAUGGUCACUAGCUGUUUGGACUUCGGUCUGAGUGGCUAAGCGAAAGUGAUAAGUGACCCACCUGGGGAGUACGUUCGCAAGAAUGAAACUCAAAGGAAUUGACGGGGGCCCGCACAAGCGGUGGAGCAUGUGGUUUAAUUCGAUGAUACGCGAGGAACCUUACCAGGGCUUAAAUGUUUGGUGACAGAUCUAGAAAUAGGUUUUUCUUCGGACACUAAACAAGGUGCUGCAUGGUUGUCGUCAGCUCGUGCCGUGAGGUGUCAGGUUAAGUCCUAUAACGAGCGCAACCCCUGUUGUUAGUUGCCAGCGAGUAAUGUCGGGAACUCUAACAAGACUGCCAGUGCAAACUGUGAGGAAGGUGGGGAUGACGUCAAAUCAUCACGGCCUUUAUGUCCUGGGCUACACACGUGCUACAAUGGUAGGUACAGAGAGCAGCCAAUGCGCGAGCAUGAGCAAAUCUAUAAAACCUAUCUCAGUUCGGAUCGGAGUCUGCAACUCGACUCCGUGAAGCUGGAAUCGCUAGUAAUCGGAUAUCAGCAAUGAUCCGGUGAAUACGUUCCCGGGCCUUGUACACACCGCCCGUCAAGCCAUGGAAGUUGGGAGUACCUGAAGUCCGUUUCCGCAAGGAUCGGCCUAGGGUAAAAUCGAUAACUAGGGCUG
rnacentral:rRNA from 1 species